GCAGUCGAACGGUAGCACAGAGGAGCUUGCUCCUUGGGUGACGAGUGGCGGACGGGUGAGUAAUGUCUGGGAAACUGCCCGAUGGAGGGGGAUAACUACUGGAAACGGUAGCUAAUACCGCAUAACGUCGCAAGACCAAAGAGGGGGACCUUCGGGCCUCUUGCCAUCGGAUGUGCCCAGAUGGGAUUAGCUAGUAGGUGGGGUAACGGCUCACCUAGGCGACGAUCCCUAGCUGGUCUGAGAGGAUGACCAGCCACACUGGAACUGAGACACGGUCCAGACUCCUACGGGAGGCAGCAGUGGGGAAUAUUGCACAAUGGGCGCAAGCCUGAUGCAGCCAUGCCGCGUGUAUGAAGAAGGCCUUCGGGUUGUAAAGUACUUUCAGCGAGGAGGAAGGCAUUAAGGUUAAUAACCUUAGUGAUUGACGUUACUCGCAGAAGAAGCACCGGCUAACUCCGUGCCAGCAGCCGCGGUAAUACGGAGGGUGCAAGCGUUAAUCGGAAUUACUGGGCGUAAAGCGCACGCAGGCGGUCUGUCAAGUCGGAUGUGAAAUCCCCGGGCUCAACCUGGGAACUGCAUCCGAAACUGGCAGGCUAGAGUCUUGUAGAGGGGGGUAGAAUUCCAGGUGUAGCGGUGAAAUGCGUAGAGAUCUGGAGGAAUACCGGUGGCGAAGG
rnacentral:rRNA from 1 species